UACAGAGGUCUCAAGCGUUGUUCGGAUUCAUUGGGCGUAAAGGGUGCGUAGGUGGCGCGGUAAGUCGGGUGUGAAAUUUCGGAGCUUAACUCCGAAACUGCAUUCGAUACUGCCGUGCUUGAGGACUGGAGAGGAGACUGGAAUUUACGGUGUAGCAGUGAAAUGCGUAGAGAUCGGAAGGAACACCAGUGGCGAAGGCGGCUACCUGGACAGAUACUGACGCUGAGGCGCGAGAGCGUGGGGAGCAAACAGG
rnacentral:rRNA from 1 species